rnacentral:sRNA from 2 species
GUUUGCACUUGUCGGGGAAGGGUGAGAACCUUCGAUUAAGGUUCGACUCGAGCGAAAGAACGUUGCCAACGGUAACGGC